rnacentral:rRNA from 1 species
AAUGGGCGCGAGCCUGAACCAGCCAUGUCGCGUGCAGGACGACUGCCCUAUGGGUUGUAAACUGCUUUUGUAUGGGAAGAAACGACGGUACGCGUACUGUUUUGCCGGUACCAUACGAAUAAGGAUCGGCUAACUCCGUGCCAGCAGCCGCGGUAAUACGGAGGAUCCGAGCGUUAUCCGGAUUUAUUGGGUUUAAAGGGUGCGUAGGCGGGAGAUUAAGUCAGUGGUGAAAGUUUGCGGCUCAACCGUAAAAUUGCCAUUGAUACUGGUUUUCUUGAGUACAGUUGAGGUAGGCGGAAUGUGGUGUGUAGCGGUGAAAUGCAUAGAUAUACCACAGAACACCGAUUGCGAAGGCAGCUUACUAAGUUGUAACUGACGCUGAAGCACGAAAGCAUGGGGAUCAAA